rnacentral:rRNA from 1 species
GAUGAACGCUAGCUACACGUUUAACACAUGCAAGUCGAGGGGCAUCAGGAAGAAAGCUUGCUUUCUUUGCUGGCGACCGGCGCACGGGUGAGUAACACGUAUCCAACCUGCCCUUUACUCGGGGAUAGCCUUUCGAAAGAAAGAUUAAUACCCGAUAGUAUAAUGAUUCCGCAUGGUUUCAUUAUUAAAGGAUUCCGGUAAAGGAUGGGGAUGCGUUCCAUUAGGUUGUUGGUGAGGUAACGGCUCACCAAGCCUUCGAUGGAUAGGGGUUCUGAGAGGAAGGUCCCCCACAUUGGAACUGAGACACGGUCCAAACUCCUACGGGAGGCAGCAGUGAGGAAUAUUGGUCAAUGGGCGCUAGCCUGAACCAGCCAAGUAGCGUGAAGGAUGAAGGCUCUAUGGGUCGUAAACUUCUUUUAUAUAAGAAUAAAGUGCAGUAUGUAUACUGUUUUGUAUGUAUUAUAUGAAUAAGGAUCGGCUAACUCCGUGCCAGCAGCCGCGGUAAUACGGAGGAUCCGAGCGUUAUCCGGAUUUAUUGGGUUUAAAGGGAGCGUAGGUGGACUGGUAAGUCAGUUGUGAAAGUUUGCGGCUCAACCGUAAAAUUGCAGUUGAUACUGGCAGNCUUGAGUACAGUAGAGGUGGGCGGAAUUCGUGGUGUAGCGGUGAAAUGCUUAGAUAUCACGAAGAACUCCGAUUGCGAAGGCAGCUCACUGGACUGCAACUGACACUGAUGCUCGAAAGUGUGGGUAUCAAACAGG